ACAUCCAAACUCUGGUCCUGACUGUCCUUCUGCUCAUUUGCUAAAAGGAUCCAGAACUCUGGGACUCCCCUGUUGCCUGUUGGUUGCACACCCACUUGUCAGCAGUUAACUUGCUGAUUUAUUCAACAUACAUUUACUGAGCACUUACUGUGCGCCCGGCCCUGCGCCAGGAGACAGAAGGAGAGACAGAGCGAACCUGGCAUCACCAGACGCAGGAGGAAAGACUCCACCCCACGACAGCUCUCGGGCCUCUGACUCAGCCUCUGAUUCACAUUAGGAUGCUCGCGGAAACCGGGGAGCUAGCUUCUUCAGCUUAGUGAGCUGCACAGAGCAGGUCGUACAUAAAUAAAAACGGAAAACAGCUGCCGUCUCCAAGAAGCUUGGGCUUAAAAAUACUAGAAAGGUAGAUUUUAUCAGCUUCCCAAGCGGAAGUCUGAGCAGUGGUCACAGUACAGGCUAGCAGCUCCCAGGAACUCCUCUGUUUUAUCUUCUUCAGAAGUGGACGCGAUCGCUUUCACCUCGUCCUCGGAAGCCCUCAUGGAAAUUCUCUGCAGCACCUGGAACUGCAUCACCUUCGCUCGGAGCCUUGGUUAGAAUAUCCCGGGGAGCUGGUCACGGGCUGCGGGGUCCUGAGAAGCUGCGGGAGAAGGCACGUCUGCUGAGCUGGGGGGAUCGUUGAGAUGGGGACCCUUGGCCUGGACCCCUUUGCCCCUGUAGAGUGCGCGGGGGUGGGCUGCUCUCCCCCCACAGCAGGGCCCCAUCAGGCCGCUCUCACUGUGCGCCUGACAGCCUCUAGGGGCGCCCUCCUCCUCCUCCUGGCCUGUACCACCUCUUUGCUCCGGGCGGGACUGUCCGGGUUCUCCCGGCUUCACCCAGGGACAGUCCCUCCGAGACUCAGUGCUCCCAUCUUGGGCCUUAUCUUCCACAUCUGUGAAACAAGGGGCAGAACCCUCACCUCCAGGAUCCCUCUCGGCCCAGAAGCUCUGAAAUCCUGCCUACGGUCACUGUUUAUAGCUCUGGGACAGGUUGGGCUCCCGAAUGCCAUCUUGACCUGCGGCUAUCCUGACAGAGCCUCGGCCCGCCUCCCUGCAGAAGCUCUGUGUCCUCCCUGGCCUGCGGGGCCCUCACCUCUGGAGCGAGCUCAUGCAGGGCUUCCCUGGUCUCCAGGAUGUCCCCCAGACAGUGGAGGGGCUCUGGUGUCAGGCCAGUCUGGGCCCUGUGGGGGAAAAAAUCCAACUGUGAAAACUCCCCUCAUAUAGACAAGGUGGAGGGCAGUAAACA